rnacentral:rRNA from 1 species
CCUACGGGUGGCAGCUGUAGGGAAUAUUGCUCAAUGGGGGAAACCCUGAAGCAGCAACGCCGCGUGGAGGAUGAAGGUUUUCGGAUUGUAAACUCCUUUUGUUAGAGAAGAUAAUGACGGUAUCUAACGAAUAAGCACCGGCUAACUCCGUGCCAGCAGCCGCGGUAAUACGGCGGGUGCAAGCGUUACUCGGAAUCACUGGGCGUAAAGAGCGCGUAGGCGGGAUAGCAAGUCAGAUGUGAAAUCCUAGGGCUUAACCAUAGAACUGCAUUUGAAACUGUUAUUCUAGAGUAUGGGAGAGGUAGGUGGAAUUCUUGGUGUAGGGGUAAAAUCCGUAGAGAUCAAGAAGAAUACUCAUUGCGAAGGCGACCUGCUAGAACAUAACUGACGCUGAUGCGCGAAAGCGUGGGGAGCGAACAGGAUUAGAUACCCGGGUAGUC